rnacentral:tRNA from 1 species
AUUUUAAUAGUUUAUUAAAAAUAUUGAUUUGUGGAAUCAAAGAAAUUAAGAAUAAUUUAAAAUU